UACGUAGGGUCCGAGCGUUGUCCGGAAUUACUGGGCGUAAAGAGCUCGUAGGUGGUUUGUCGCGUUGUUCGUGAAAACUCACAGCUCAACUGUGGGCGUGCGGGCGAUACGGGCAGACUAGAGUACUGCAGGGGAGACUGGAAUUCCUGGUGUAGCGGUGAAAUGCGCAGAUAUCAGGAGGAACACCGGUGGCGAAGGCGGGUCUCUGGGCAACAACUGACGCUGAGGAGCGAAAGCGUGGGGGAGCGAACAGG
rnacentral:rRNA from 1 species